rnacentral:rRNA from 1 species
UGAGGAAUAUUGGUCAAUGGUCGCAAGACUGAACCAGCCAUGCCGCGUGCAGGAAGACGGUCCUAUGGAUUGUAAACUGCUUUUAUACAGGAAGAAACCCUCCCACGUGUGGGAGCUUGACGGUACUGUAGGAAUAAGGAUCGGCUAACUCCGUGCCAGCAGCCGCGGUAAUACGGAGGAUCCAAGCGUUAUCCGGAAUCAUUGGGUUUAAAAGGGGUCCGUAGGCGGUCUUAUAAGUCAGUGGUGAAAGCCCAUCGCUCAACGAUGGAACUGCCAUUGAUACUGUAAGACUUGAAUGCUUAGGAAGUAACUAGAAUAUGUAGUGUAGCGGUGAAAUGCUUAGAUAUUACAUGGAAUACCAAUUGCGAAGGCAGGUUACUACUAAGUGAUUGACGCUGAUGGACGAAAGCGUGGGGAGCGAACAGGAUUAGAUACCCUGGUAGUCCACGCCGUAAACGAUGGAUACUAGCUGUUCGGCGCAAGUUGAGUGGCUAAGCGAAAGUGAUAAGUAUCCCACCUGGGGAGUACGCACGCAAGUGUGAAACUCAAAUGAAUUGACGGGGUCAUAGCUGUUUCCUG